CUGUCUGGUGUGGCGCACGGACUUCAGACCCUAU
rnacentral:tRNA from 11 species